rnacentral:rRNA from 1 species
AUUGAACGCUGGCGGCAGGCCUAACACAUGCAAGUAGAACGAGUGGCGGACGGGUGAGUAAUGUCUGGGAAACUGCCUGUUGGUGGGGGAUAACUACUGGAAACGGUAGCUUACACCGCAUACCAUCAGAUGCGCCCAGAUGGGAUUAGCUUGUUUGUGGGGUAACGGCUCACCAAGGCGACGAUCCCUAGCUGGUCUGAGAGGAUGACCAGCCACACUGGAACUUGGACACGGUCCAGACUCCUACGAGAGGCAGCAGUUGGGAAUAUUGCACAAUGGGCGCAAGCCUGAUGCAGCCAUGCCGCGUGUAUGAAGAAGGCCUUCGGGUUGUAAAGUACUUUCAGCGGAGAGGCGUUACCCGCAGAAGAAGCACCGGCUAACUCCGGGCCAGCAGCCGCGGUAAUAC